UCGGAGUUUCGAUUCUUUUGAUAUAUUACCCACUCAAAAAGGUGCUCGUUGUGGCAAGUUGAAUUUUUAGCUCAAGCUUUUGAACUAACUUUAAUGGAGGUUUCAAGUUAAUACUUCACAUUUUAAACCAUGAGCUUCAGUUUUCAAUUCUCAAACAUAAAGAACUCUUCAAAUCAUCUGAAAGUUGCUCCCACUUCAAGAAUAUAGAUUCAAUAAUUUCAUAUGGAAGCUUGUCGAUUUCCAUGAAAUUCCGGUGUUUCUUCAAAUCUAAAAAUCGCAACCAUAAACUCAAUCAAACUCAAUGUAUUUAGCUUCAAAUAAUUAG
rnacentral:lncRNA from 1 species